rnacentral:rRNA from 1 species
AACGAACGCUGGCGGCAUGCCUAACACAUGCAAGUCGAACGAAGCCUUCGGGCUUAGUGGCGCACGGGUGCGUAACACGUGGGAAUCUGCCCUUCGGUUCGGAAUAACAGUUAGAAAUGACUGCUAAUACCGGAUGAUGACGUAAGUCCAAAGAUUUAUCGCCGAAGGAUGAGCCCGCGUAGGAUUAGGUAGUUGGUAGGGUAAUGGCCUACCAAGCCGACGAUCCUUAGCUGGUCUGAGAGGAUGAUCAGCCACACUGGGACUGAGACACGGCCCAGACUCCUACGGGAGGCAGCAGUGGGGAAUAUUGGACAAUGGGCGAAAGCCUGAUCCAGCAAUGCCGCGUGAGUGAUGAAGGCCUUAGGGUUGUAAAGCUCUUUUACCAGGGAUGAUAAUGACAGUACCUGGAGAAUAAGCUCCGGCUAACUCCGUGCCAGCAGCCGCGGUAAU